GGACAAUGCUAGAUAUGUUGAAGCUCGUAUUCUAGAAAUUCAAAAGAAAUUUCAUGACAUAAGGGGCUGCAGAUGUCUCUUUGUGAUUCAAUAUGAUCAUGAUAACACACAGGAAAUUGUCAAUUUGAGGAGACUGUGUUUCCGGCCAAGCAUAUUAAGGCGUUUGUCACAGAUUUAGUUUUUGAGUAUGUUUGGUGCAGCCCACAUGUUUUGCCUUGGCGUUGCACAUAUAUUAUAUUAUUUGCUCCUUGCGGCCAUAUUUAAUCUU
rnacentral:misc_RNA from 1 species